GACGAACGCUGGCGGCGUGCUUAACACAUGCAAGUCGAACGGGCCCGCCCCUGUUUUUGGGGGUGGGUUGAGUGGCGAACGGGUGAGUAUCACGUGAGUAACCUGCCCCCUGCUCCUGGAUAACUGCUUGAAAGGGCGGCUAAUACGGGGUGUGCCGGCUGGUCCGCAUGGGCCUGGUCGGGAUAGUUUCAUCUUCGGGUGUUUCGGUGGGGGAUGGGCUCGCGGCCUAUCAGCUUGUUGGUGGGGUGAUGGCCCACCAAGGCGGUGACGGGUAGCCGGCCUGAGAGGGUGGGCGGCCACACUGGGACGGAGACACGGCCCAGACUCCUGCGGGAGGCAGCAGUGGGGGGUAUUGCACAAUGGGCGGAAGCCUGAUGCAGCGACGUCGCGUGAGGGAUGGAGGCCGUCGGGUUGUGAAACUCUUUCUCCGGUGGUGAAGGCCCUGUCCGUUGCGGCGGGGUUGACGGUAGCCGGGUAUGAAGCGCCGGCUAACUACGUG
rnacentral:rRNA from 1 species